rnacentral:rRNA from 1 species
AGGAUAGAGGCCUACCAUGGUGGUAACGGGUAACGGGGUGUUAGGGCACGACACCGGAGAGGGAGCCUGAGAAACGGCUACCACAUCCAAGGAUGGCAGCAGGCGCGCAGAUUACCCAAUCCCGACACGGGGAGGUAGUGACAAUAAAUAACAAUACGGGGUUCUUUCGGAUCUCGUAAUUGGAAUGAGUACAAUUUAAAUCUCUUAACGAGGAACAAUUGGAGGGCAAGUCUGGUGCCAGCAGCCGCGGUAAUUCCAGCUCCAAUAGCGUAUAUUAAAGUUGUUGCAGUUAAAAAGCUCGUAGUUGAAUUUCGGGGUUAGUAGGUUGGUCAUGCCUCUGGUAUGUACUGGUCUCACUGAUUCCUCCUUCCUGAUGAACCGUAAUGCCAUUAAUUUGGUGUUGCGGGGAAUUUGGACUGUUACUUUGAAAAAAUUAGAGUGUUUAAAGCAAGCUAACGCUUGAAUACAUUAGCAUGGAAUAAUGAAAUAGGACGUUCGAUCCUAUUUUGUUGGUUUCUAGGAUUGACGUAAUGAUUAAUAGGGAUAGUUGGGGGCAUUAGUAUUCAAUUGUCAGAGGUGAAAUUCUUGGAUUUAUUGAAGACUAACUACUGCGAAAGCAUUUGCCUAGGAUGUUUUCAUUAAUCAAGAACGAAAGUUAGGGGAUCGAAGACGAUCAGAUACCGUCGUGGUCUUAACCAUAAACUAUGCCGACUAGGGAUCGGAUGAU